rnacentral:lncRNA from 1 species
GGCAGCCCCUGAUAUCACAAGGAAGUUGCAAAAACAGGCCCUGUCCAAAGAUCUCUGAUUUUUCUGACCCUCAAGUUGAAGAGUUGCAGUAUGUCAAUAACAUUCUCCUCUGUGCCCCAACCAAGAAAGUCUCAGGAAGGCACUGGGGCUGUCCUCAAUUUCUUAGCUAAAAAGACAUAUAGGGUUUCAACAUCUAAGACUCAGACUUCAGUAAAGUACCUAGGUCUAGUCUUAUCAGAAGGGACCAGAGCACUAGGUGAGGAAAAGAUUAGGCCCAUUUUCUCUUUUCUUGUACCCCAAACUCUUAAACAACUGAGGGGAUUCUUAGGCAUUACUGGAUUUUGCAAACUAUGGAUACCUGGGUAUGGUGAGAUAGCUCACCCUUAAUACCACCUCAUAAAAGAAACUCAAGCAGCUAGACUCACUACCUGACUUGGGAAUUUGGGGCUAAAAAAAGCCUUUAACCAGUUAAAACAAACCUUAGUUAAACCAUCAGCCCAUAGUCUUCUGAUAGGGAAGGCAUUCAGUCUCUAUGUAUCAAAAAGGAAGGGAAUGGCCCUAAAAGUUUUGACUCAGGCUCAAGGUCCAGCUCAACAGCCAGUAGGUUACCUAAGCAAGGAUCUAGACUUGGUGGCUAAAGUAUGGCCAGCCUGCUUCUGAGCAGUUGCUGUGGUGGCUUUGCUGGUGCCAGAAGUCACCAAGUUAACCAUUGGGAAUAAGUGUAUAUACCCCACAUAAUGUGGUAGAACUGCUGUCUUCUAAGGGAAGUCUCUGGCUAUCAGAUAAUUGCCUCUCCAAAUAUCAGGCUCUGCUGUUAGAGGGAUCACAGUCUAGUUAAAAACCUGUCCUUGUCUGAACCCAGCUACUUUCCUCCCAGAGGAAACUGGAGAACCUGAACAUGCCUGUGAACAGGUAGUGGUGCAAACUUAUGCAGCCAGGGAGGACCUCAAAGAAACUCCCUCUGAAAAAUCCAGAAGCCAGACAUGCCAGCAAAAGGUUAAAGUUUUGUGGUUUUUUUGUUUUGUUUUGUUUUGUUUUUAACCAGUUGGACUUUUGGCUUCUUUCUCCCUGUGCAAACUGGUAAAAGGAAUGAUAAGGAUCACUGCUUGUAUUCUCUGCAAAGUUUUAAUUAAUGAAAAAGGAUGUUCUUAAAGAGUACUCAGCUAAAUUAAAAGUGGAUAUCCUUGGGAGGCCGAGAUGGGCAGAUCAUGAGGUCAGGAGAACGAGACCAUCCUAGCUAACAUGGUGAAACUCUGUCUUUGCUAAAAAAAAAAA